UACGUAGGGUGCAAGCGUUGUCCGGAAUUAUUGGGCGUAAAGGGCUCGUAGGCGGUCCGUCACGUCGGGAGUGAAAACUUGGGGCUUAACCCCAAGCCUGCUUCCGAUACGGGCGGACUAGAGGUAGGCAGGGGAGAACGGAAUUCCUGGUGUAGCGGUGAAAUGCGCAGAUAUCAGGAGGAACACCGGUGGCGAAGGCGGUUCUCUGGGCCUUACCUGACGCUGAGUGAGCGAAAGCCAGGGGAGCAAACGGG
rnacentral:rRNA from 1 species